rnacentral:tRNA from 1 species
AUCCCGUCGACUUUAGAAAUCGUGUAGGUUCAAG